GUCUAAACCCCAGGGUCAGGCAGGCUGUAUUUGACCCGAGGGUACCAUUUCUGAUGCUGGAGUUCUUUUGAAGAAACUAAGAGCUGUGGCAGAAUAAGCUAGUAGAUGAGGAUAGGGUGAAUAAAGCACAAGUACCAACUGGUUUUACUGAGGCUGAAUUGGGGAAGAGGAUCCAGGAUCCUGAGAUGAAGUCUGGAGAAGGGAGACGCUCUUAGAUGAGCAGUCAUUGUAUCUCUGAGCUUUUGAUUUUCGUGUUUGCUCCUUCUACCUGGAGUCUCUGGGAGGCAAGGAAGGAUGAAGAUCUAAAGGCAAUUGCUGAAUGCCUCCUGUACAACAGGCAUUAUUCAAUUUGCUGGCGACAGAGAUGAGAAUGAUACAAACUCGAGUCUCAAAGAGCUCACAGUCUUGUCUGAAGAAGGAGAGGGCUGGUAGACAGCAAGGAAGUCAUGUGACUAGAAGGAACCUCGGUGAGGAUUGGAUAAAGGCUUGUGUUCAAAGGAUUCAUGUUUGCCUAUUUAAGGUCCCUACGGGAGUAUCAUUGCCACAGGAAUGGGUGCCACAUUUUAUGAAGCUAGAGACCACACUGCAAAGAAAAUGCCCGAAAGCAGUCAUUUCUCCGGCCUGGAAUUAAAAGUGACCCCCUUUCAUAUUUCCUUGGGCUCUGCAGGCCGAAGUGGAGACCCUAUUUGCCAAGUCUCAGCCACAGUUAAUUUACUUUCGUUUUAUUUUUCCUUACUCCUGAAUUGAAUUAUCACCUUCCUGAAGAGCCGUGUGUGUAAUGGAAAAGCUGACACCAGCCAAAGUGGAGUAUUGCAGCCCAAAUGAGGCUCCUAUUAUUGCCCUGUUACGGGAGGAACGGGCUUCUGUUUGCCCUUCAUUCAUCACCUGCUGACUGUGAAACCAAGUCGAGCUGCUUUGUUUUAAUGGCAGUUGUUCUGCCCUGACCUAUGCUGCUCGCCCACCCUGCUCCAGGAGCAAACAGAUGAGUUCCAUUUGGAGCUGAACUUACUGUGCAUGAAAAUCACGAGGGCAACGAGAUUUUUUCUUCGCCUUCAUGCAACGGGGAGCAUUAAGCACUGCAUUCUGUCCCUUGAAGUCCAGAACAGGACACCUGGCUAACGGGCACCCUAUGAGACCAUCUUAUCACACUUUUCAGACCGAAGGACCUCAGCUUUGUGCUGUCCCUCCUGCUAAGGCCUUUAAAGAUCCCUCCUAAGGUUUCCAUACGCAAGUGUGUUAAAAAUAUAUCCGAGGAAAUGAUUUUCAUAGUGGAUGUUUCCUGGCUUGUGUCACACACUAUAUAUACUUCCAAUUAGGACUAUUUAUUCCUCCCUCCACCAUGCCCCGAAGCAAGGUCCAUUUGUGAAAUCUAAUUAAACCUGCUUAUUUCCUUGGAAUGAAGGACAUUUUUAGAUCUUUCACUAGGCACGCUCCUCCUGUCUGGAAGAAUUUUGUUUGUUGGUGCGUUUUAGUCUUUCUGGGGGAGGAGGGAUAGUUUUUGUUAGUUUUUCUGAGAACCCAAAAUGAUUGGAGACCUUUUAUUUACUUAUUUUUUAAACACCAGUUUCCACAGGACACUGUGAAGGAGCCAGUGCAGACUCCCUUUAGUGAAGCUCUUUCCUUGGGUUCUAAAAGCUCCUUUGUUCUCAAUUCCCAUUACUUUUCUCUCUGACUGUGGAUGGUCUCCCCUCUCCCCACAGAGCUGAGAGUUCAUGGCUGUUUCUAAUCCAUAAUUAGCUGAAAUAGAAAAAUACUCUCCUUGAGGUAAUAAUUCUCCUGCAUUUGCCGCUCUUCGCCCAUCACAAUGCAAAACAGAACAUUCUCAGACCAUGUAUGAUCACUGACAUUGCCACAGGCACCAAAAAAUUUAUUUUUUUAAGCAGCUUUGCUAAGAUGGGGCUGUCCUUGGCCUCAUAUCUGUGGUGAAUCUAAAGGAGUCAGUGAAAGCAGAAAGGAGGCAAAUAAAAUGCAGAUUGACUCUGGGAAACAUCCAUUUCAUUGGCUCUGCUUACUGGAGAAGUGGCCCAUGGAAGAUUAUGUCACCUUUUGCACCAAGUUAACGCGGCUGUUUGUCAAGUGAGACGAGAAUUCUUUGUAUUUGUAUUCUUACCUAGCUCACAUUUUUAACGAUGUCUCUUCUCCAUUUCUCAUCCAGACAUUUUUCCCUAUCUGCUUUCAAUGCUAAUGUGUCCCUGUCCUGUUUUUCAAAUUAAAUACCACACUUAAAAUAUUAAUACCCCUUGCUCUUUGAUUCUUUGUUUAUUCAUCUUAUGCAAAACACAACAGUGAGCUUCCAUCUGUAUUAAAUGCUACUGUAUGGGCCAAUUCAAUGACUUAUUAAUGACUGUUCCAUGAUAUGGAGGGCUAGGCUUUAUAUAAUCAUGCAAUUCUUAUUCAGAAAUGCUCCGCUAGUACUACCCUGUAGGGAAAAAGAAUGAAAUAUGUCUGUGUUUUCGAAGAAAAAAUGACUUACUUUGUGAAGACCAUUAUAAGAUGACUAAGUAUUGAAACUAGGCCAAGUUACUUCAGUCUCCAAGGAAGUUAGCUCACGUCUUGAAGUAUUUGGGUAUGUAAAUUUUUGUAACAUUUUUGUAACAUUUAUUGAAGUGGAAACCACAUAGCAUAAAAUUAUAGGUCAAUGAAUUAACACAAAGUGUAUAACUGCCAUGGUCAAGAAAUAGGAUAUUUAAGGAGCCUUAUUCACGCCGCUAGCCCAUAUUCUGUUCGGGCUGUUUCCUCUUUUU
ensembl:lncRNA